rnacentral:rRNA from 1 species
AUACGUAGGGGGCGAGCGUUGUCCGGAAUGAUUGGGCGUAAAGGGCGCGUAGGCGGCCUGUUAAGUCUGGAGUGAAAGUCCUGUUUUCAAGGUGGGAAUCGCUUUGGAUACUGAUGGGCUUGAGUGCAGGAGAGGUUAUCGGAAUUCCCGGUGUAGCGGUGAAAUGCGUAGAGAUCGGGAGGAACACCAGUGGCGAAGGCGGGUAACUGGACUGCAACUGACGCUGAGGCGCGAAAGUGUGGGGAGCAAACAGGAUUAGAUACCCUGGUAGUCCACACUGUAAACGAUGAAUGCUAGGUGUAAGAGGUAUCGACCCCUUUUGUGCCGGAGUUAACACAAUAAGCAUUCCGCCUGGGGAGUACGGUCGCAAGAAUGAAACUCAAAUGAAUUGACGGGG